ACGGAGGAAAAGAAACCAACAGGGAAUUGCCUCAGUAACGGCGAAGUGAAGCGGCAACAGCUCAAAUUUGAAAGCUGGCCCCCCCGGGGGUCCGCGUUGUAAUUUGUAGAGGAUGAUUCGGCGAGGGCUCCCGCCUAAGUCCCCUGGAACGGGGCGUCAUAGAGGGUGAGAAUCCCGUAUGCGGUGGGCUGCCUUAGCCAUGUGAAUCUCCUUCGACGAGUCGAGUUGUUUGGGAAUGCAGCUCUAAAUGGGAGGUAAAUUUCUUCUAAAGCUAAAUACCGGCCAGAGACCGAUAGCGCACAAGUAGAGUGAUCGAAAGAUGAAAAGCACUUUGGAAAGAGAGUUAAAAAGUACGUGAAAUUGUUGAAAGGGAAGCGCUUGCAGCCAGACUUGUCCGCAGUUGCUCAGCCGGUCUCCUGACCGGCGCACUCUUCUGCGGCCAGGCCAGCAUCAGUUCGGGCGGUCGGAUAAAGGCCCCGGGAACGUAGCUCCUCUCGGGGAGUGUUAUAGCCCGGGGUGGAAUGCGGCCAGCCUGGACUGAGGAUCUCGCUUCGGCUAGGAUGCUGGCGUAAUGGCUGUAAGCGGCCCGUCUUGAAACACGGACCAAGGAGUCUAACAUCUAUGCGAGUGUUUGGGUGUCAAACCCAUGCGCGUAAUGAAAGUGAACGGAGGUGGGAACCCUCGCGGGUGCACCAUCGACCGAUCCUGAUGUCUUCGGAUGGAUUUGAGUAAGAGCAUAGCUGUUGGGACCCGAAAGAUGGUGAACUAUGCCUGAAUAGGGUGAAGCCAGAGGAAACUCUGGUGGAGGCUCGCAGCGGUUCUGACGUGCAAAUCGAUCGUCAAAUUUGGGUAUAGGGGCGAAAGACUAAUCGAACCAUCGACUACUAGGUGGUUAAGAGGUGGCUGAAAGUGCCCACCUAGUCCCCCCGUCCUCGGACGGGGGGGCGACAUCGCCAAAUUGCGGGGACUCCCUUAGAGCCUCUACUACCGCGGCCGGCCGAAAGGCGCGGUGCAGCACCGGGUUAAUUGCCUAGGGUACGGUAAAAAGGUAGAGGAUUGGGAAAUCCGCAGCCAAGCGCCUAAGUCCCGCGGGAUACGGCGAAGGUUCAGAGACUAGAUGGCGGUGGGUCCGGCCCGAGGGCCGGCCUAAGGUAUAGUCCACCCCCCGGGGAAACCCGGGCGGAUCCAGGGUAGAACUGGUCCGAAAAA
rnacentral:sRNA from 1 species